CAAUAGCGUAUAUUAAAGUUGUUGCAGUUAAAAAGCUCGUAGUUGAAUUUCUGUCUAGAGGCUCCCGUUCUGCAUUGCAGAUAACGUGGAAACUUUUGACAUUUCUCCGAUGUGUCUUACUGCACUUCGUUGUGUGGUUUGAACUUCGGAACUUUUACUUUGAGAAAAUUAGAGUGUUUCAAGCAAGCUUGUGCCUUGAAUACUGCAGCAUGGAAUAAUAUUAUAAGACUCAUGUCUUAUUUGUUGGUUCGUGAGACUGAGUAAUGAUUGAUAGGGACAGUUUGGGGCAUUCGUAUUUAACUGUCAGAGGUGAAAUUCUUGGAUUUGUUAAAGACGAACUACUGCGAAAGCAUUUGCCAGGGAUGUUUNCAUUA
rnacentral:rRNA from 1 species